rnacentral:rRNA from 1 species
UACGGGGGGGGCAAGCGUUGUUCGGAAUUACUGGGCGUAAAGGGCUCGUAGGCGGCCAACUAAGUCGGACGUGAAAUCCCCAGGCUCAACCUGGGAACUGCGUCCGAUACUGGAUGGCUUGAAUUCGGGAGAGGGAUGCAGAAUUCCAGGUGUAGCGGUGAAAUGCGAAGAUAUCUGGAGGAAUACCGGUGGCGAAGGCGGCAUCCUGGACCGACAUUGACGCUGAGGAGCGAAAGCUAGGGGAGCAAACGGG